UACAUAAAAUACAAGCAUUAAUCGGAAUUACUGAACGUAAAGCGUGCGCAGGCGGUUAUUUAAGUCAGGUGUGAAAGCCCUGGGCUUAACCUAGGAAUUGCGCUUGAGACUGGAUAGCUUGGAGUGUGGCAGAGGGAGGUGGAAUUCCACGUGUAGCAGUGAAAUGCGUAGAGAUGUGGAGGAACACCGAUGGCGAAGGCAGCCUCCUGGGCCAGCACUGACGCUCAUGCACGAAAGCGUGGGGAGCAAACAGG
rnacentral:rRNA from 1 species